rnacentral:tRNA from 1 species
GCCUAGGUGGCUCAGUCGGUUAAGCGUCUGACUUCGGCUCAGGUCAUGAUCUCACGGCUUGUGGGUUCGAGCCCCACAUCGGGCU